AGCCACAGUCAUAUCACCUUGCAGCCCAAGAACGGUUACUCACUGAAGCUAAACAGGUCUAAGCCUGGUCAGUACCUGGAUUGGAGACCACAUGAAAAACUAGGUUGCUGUAGAAA
rnacentral:rRNA from 1 species